rnacentral:pre_miRNA from 1 species
UCUUACAAAUGAACAAAGGAAGUGAUUUCUGAGAUGGAAAUUACUGCUGGUGAAGAUGCUGUGAA